CAACGGCGUAAACACGAAAAUAAACGCAGAAACUGGGAGAAAAAAAAAUACGGAGGAAGAAAGAAAAGAAAAGGGAAAAGAAAAUUAAAGGAGAAGAGAAAAAUAAGGAUUUUCAUUCCAAAGCGUCAAGAUUGAAAUUGGUCUGAGGCAUUGAAGAAAGGAAAGACAUUGGUGGAUUAGCUUGCUUUACUUCGGUUCUUCGAUUGAGCGAGUCUUCCAUCGGCUUCGACUUGACUUCAGCUCUAGUCAAUCUUCAGUUCAUAAGAUAUCAGGGUGAGCUAUCCUUCUAGCUGACGAUGAAUUCUCUUAGUCACGACAUGAUGUCCUUAGUGUUCGGACACGAACUAUGUCACUUAUUUUAUUUUAGUGUUUGACAUUCUAGACUUAGUAUUUUAGAAGUUAGAUGUCCUUAAUGUGAUGACUUUCAGGUUUUGGGGAAAAUGUAUUUAUUUGAGCUUCCGCAUUAUUGUUAUAUUUAUUA